rnacentral:rRNA from 1 species
AACGAACGCGGGCGGCAGGCCUAACACAUGCAAGUCGAGCGCCCGCAAGGGAGCGGCAGACGGGUGAGUAACGCGUGGGAAUUUACCCCGAGGCACGGAACAACUCGGCGAAAGCUGAGCUAAUACCGAAUGUGACCGAGAGGUGUAAGAUUUAUCGCCUCGGGAUGAGCCCGCGUAGGAUUAGCUAGUUGGUGGGGUACGGGCCCACCAAGGCGACGAUCCUUAGCUGGGCUGAGAGGAUGAUCAGCCACACUGGAACUGAGACACGGCCAAGACUCCUACGGGAGGCAGCAGUGGGGAAUAUUGGACAAUGGGGGCAACCCUGAUCCAGCCAUGCCGCGUGAGUGAUGAAGGCCUUAGGGUUGUAAAGCUCUUUCGCCCGCGAAGAUAAUGACGGUAGCGGGAGAAGAAGCCCCGGCUAACUUCGUGCCAGCCGCCGCUGUAAGAC